UAAAAAGCAUUGAUGAGGAGAAGUAGGGAAAGGAUUAAUGUGCAGAGAGCUGUCCCAUGGCUGAAAGGAUGGUCAUUACACCUUUUUUGAAUAUCACCUUAGAGCUUUGUUCCUGAAAGGACAUCUGCCAAUUGUCAGAGUAGGGAGCAACGGAAAAUCACCGUUAUCUGAUGAGAGUCCUUAUAGACUUGCAGAGUCUGUUUUUCGCGAGAAGACAGAAAGCUGAGUGGUACCGCGUAUAUCUUCGCCUCAGUA
rnacentral:ncRNA from 1 species